rnacentral:rRNA from 1 species
UACGUAGGGGGCAAGCGUUGUCCGGAAUCAUUGGGCGUAAAGGGCGCGUAGGCGGUCAGUGCAAGUCAGUUGUGAAAUCUCCGGGCUUAACUCGGAACGGUCAACUGAUACUGCUCGACUAGAGUGCGGAAGGGGCAACUGGAAUUCUUGGUGUAGCGGUGAAAUGCGUAGAGUAUCAAAGAGGAACACCUGCGGCGAAGGCGGGUUGCUGGGCCGACACUGACGCUGAGUGCGCGAAAGCCAGGGGAGCGAACGGG